GGCUGGGUAGCUCAGUGGAUUGAGAGCCAAGCCCUAGAGUGGGAGGUCCUAGGUUCGAAUCCAGUCUCAGCCA
rfam:Monodelphis domestica cont3.070079, whole genome shotgun sequence.